CCUACGGGCGGCUGCAGUGGGGAAUAUUGGUCAAUGGGCGCGAGCCUGAACCAGCCAAGUAGCGUGAAGGAUGACUGCCCUAGGGGUUGUAAACUUCUUUGAUAAAGGAAUAAAGUGAGGCACGUGUGCAUUUGUGUAUGUACAUUAUGAAUAAGGAUCGGCUAACUCCGUGCCAGCAGCCGCGGUAAUACGGAGGAUCCGAGCGUUAUCCGGAUUUAUUGGGUUUAAAGGGAGCGUAGAUGGGUUGUUAAGUCAGUUGUGAAAGUUUGCGGCUCAACCGUAAAAUGGCAAUUGAUACUGGCAGCCUUGAGUACAGUUGAGGUAGGCGGAAUUCGUGGUGUAGCGGUGAAAUGCUUAGAUAUCACGAAGAACUCCGAUUGCGAAGGCAGCUUACUAAACUGCCACUGACAUUGAUGCUCGAAAGUGUGGGUAUCAAACAGGAUUAGAUACCCUUGUAGUC
rnacentral:rRNA from 1 species